AAAAAGUAUCACUUUACUGAUCCAGUGACUAAACACUUCAAAAGCUUGCUUUCACAGAAAGAUGUCAAGAUUACGGAUCCUAGAAGUUGCAUGUCUUGUGAGAAAGUUCUUGAGAUUGGUACACCUUUGACUUUUAUUGCUCAAGUAAGUCAAAACACUUAAAAACCCCAUGUUUGUUUUUUAAAUCUUCAUGAUGUCAGUUAGUUGUGGAGUGUGACAUUUUACAUUUCUGUACACUCUAUAUUCUAGGCUGUCAGAGAUGAAGAUGGGGCUCCCAUGAUCAAUCGUGUGUAUCAAGUCUUCAAUGGACGUAAAGAACUCAAGGAAUUGAUUGGUACUAUGGAAUCAGAUUCAGUGUAUUAUGGGAAUUGCUCCAUUUGGUUGACAGCUGUGGGUAUGGUUUUUCUCGCUGUAGGCCUUUUGCAGGAUGACCACGCUUUAGAAUAGUGUUUUUUCAGUUUUAAUUUUGCUUUUGGG